rnacentral:ncRNA from 3 species
GGGAUUCAGAAAGGAAAGACUUAGGGUUGCAAGCGGGUCAACCCGUGAACCCGCUUAUAGGCAAAAUUAGUAGGUAACCCGUAUAAAUGAGUUUAUGGAUCGACCCACUUGCAUCUCUAAGUGCGGCAAAUCGGACCACGACGUGAAAACACACGGGUUAUCACUUAUUUUACAUAUAAGUAGGUUUGCGAGUUGGCCCGCUUGCAUCCCUAGAUGCCGUCUUAGCUCUUAACAAGCAUG